GGCAGUUCUCAGGUGUCACACCCAGGAAUCAGGCUCCCUCCUCUCUGGUUCUGGGGGGCACACCCAAGAACCACC
rfam:Myotis lucifugus cont2.46381, whole genome shotgun sequence.